GAUGAACGCUGGCGGCGUGCUUAACACAUGCAAGUCGAACGAAGCAUUUAGAACGGAUUACUUCGGUUUGAAGUUCUUUAUGACUGAGUGGCGGACGGGUGAGUAACGCGUGGGUAACCUGCCUUGUACUGGGGGAUAGCAGCUGGAAACGGCUGGUAAUACCGCAUAAGCGCACAAUGUUGCAUGACAUGGUGUGAAAAACUCCGGUGGUAUAAGAUGGACCCGCGUCUGAUUAGCUAGUUGGUGAGAUAACAGCCCGCCAAUGCGACGAUCAGUAGCCGACCUCGGAGGGUGACCGGCCACAUGGGGACGGAGACACGGCCCAGACUCCUACGGGAGGCAGCAGUGGGGAAUAUUGCACAAUGGAGGAAACUCUGAUGCAGCGACGCCGCGUGAGUGAAGAAGUAAUUCGUUAUGUAAAGCUCUAUCAGCAGGGAAGAUAGUGACGGUACCUGACUAAGAAGCUCCGGCUAAAUACGUGCCAGCCGCCGCCGUAA
rnacentral:rRNA from 1 species